rnacentral:rRNA from 1 species
CUAUACUGCAAGUCGAGCGGACAGAUGGGAGCUUGCUCCCUGAUGUUAGCGGCGGACGGGUGAGUAACACGUGGGUAACCUGCCUGUAAGACUGGGAUAACUCCGGGAAACCGGGGCUAAUACCGGAUGGUUGUCUGAACCGCAUGGUUCAGACAUAAAAGGUGGCUUCGGCUACCACUUACAGAUGGACCCGCGGCGCAUUAGCUAGUUGGUGAGGUAACGGCUCACCAAGGCGACGAUGCGUAGCCGACCUGAGAGGGUGAUCGGCCACACUGGGACUGAGACACGGCCCAGACUCCUACGGGAGGCAGCAGUAGGGAAUCUUCCGCAAUGGACGAAAGUCUGACGGAGCAACGCCGCGUGAGUGAUGAAGGUUUUCGGAUCGUAAAGCUCUGUUGUUAGGGAAGAACAAGUGCCGUUCAAAUAGGGCGGCACCUUGACGGUACCUAACCAGAAAGCCACGGCUAACUACGUGCCAGCAGCCGCGGUAAUACGUAGGUGGCAAGCGUUGUCCGGAAUUAUUGGGCGUAAAGGGCUCGCAGGCGGUUUCUUAAGUCUGAUGUGAAAGCCCCCGGCUCAACCGGGGAGGGUCAUUGGAAACUGGGGAACUUGAGUGCAGAAGAGGAGAGUGGAAUUCCACGUGUAGCGGUGAAAUGCGUAGAGAUGUGGAGGAACACCAGUGGCGAAGGCGACUCUCUGGUCUGUAACUGACGCUGAGGAGCGAAAGCGUGGGGAGCGAACAGGAUUAGAUACCCUGGUAGUCCACGCCGUAAACGAUGAGUGCUAAGUGUUAGGGGUUUCCGCCCCUUAGUGCUGCAGCUAACGCAUUAAGCACUCCGCCUGGGGGAGUACGGUCGCAGACUGAAACUCAAGGAAUUGACGGGGCCGCACAGCAUGGA